AGUCGAACGGUGGUAGCAAUACCAUAGUGGCGCACGGGUGCGUAACACGUAACUAAUCUACCUACAACUGGGGGAUAGCCCGCCGAAAGGCGGAUUAAUACCGCAUAACCCACUUACCCGGCAUCGGGUGUUUGGUAAAGAUUUAUUGGUUGUAGAUGAGGUUGCGGGUCAUUAGCUAGUUGGUUGGGUAACGGCUGACCAAGGCGACGAUGACUAGGGGAGCUGAGAGGCUGGUCCCCCACACGGGCACUGAGAUACGGGCCCGACUCCUACGGGAGGCAGCAGUAGGGAAUAUUGGGCAAUGGGCGAGAGCCUGACCCAGCCAUGCCGCGUGCAGGAAGAAGGCUUUCUGAGUCGUAAACUGCUUUUGACAGGGAAGAAUAAGCUGUACGUGUACAGUGAUGACGGUACCUGCAGAAUAAGCACCGGCUAACUCCGUGCCAGCAGCCGCGGUAAUACGGAGGGUGCGAGCGUUGUCCGGAUUUAUUGGGUUUAAAGGGUGCGUAGGCGGCCCGUUAAGUCCGGGGUGAAAGCCCGCUGCUCAACAGCGGAACUGCCCUGGAUACUGACGGGCUUGAGUACAGACGAGGUUGGCGGAAUGGACUGAGUAGCGGUGAAAUGCAUAGAUACAGUCCAGAACCCCGAUUGCGAAGGCAGCUGACUAGGCUGUUACUGACGCUGAGGCACGAAAGCGUGGGGAGCGAACAGGAUUAGAUACCCUGGUAGUCCACGCCGUAAACGAUGGAUACUCGCUGCGAGCUAAAGAUUGUUCGUGGCUUAGGGAAACCGAUAAGUAUCCCACCUGGGGAGUACGCCGGCAACGGUGAAACUCAAAGGAAUUGAC
rnacentral:rRNA from 1 species